GACGAACGCUGGCGGCGUGCUUAACACAUGCAAGUCGAACGAGAAGAGAUGAGAAGCUUGCUUCUUAUUGAUUCGAGUGGCAAACGGGUGAGUAACGCGUAAGCAACCUGCCCUUCAGAUGGGGACAACAGCUGGAAACGGCUGCUAAUACCGAAUACGUUCUUUUUGUCGCAUGGCAGAGGGAAGAAAGGGAGGCUCUUCGGAGCUUUCGCUGAAGGAGGGGCUUGCGUCUGAUUAGCUAGUUGGAGGGGUUAAACGGGCCCGACCCAAGGCGACGAUCAGUAGCCGGUCUGAGAGGAUGAACGGCCACAUUGGGACUGAGACACGGCCCAGACUCCUACGGAGGCAGCAGUGGGAANCUUCCGCAAUGGACGAAAGUCUGACGGAGCAACGCCGCGUGAACGAUGACGGCCUCGG
rnacentral:rRNA from 1 species